rnacentral:rRNA from 1 species
GAUGAACGCUGGCGGCGUGCCUAAUACAUGCAAGUCGAACGGACAGACGCGGAGCUUGCGUCGUUGAUGUUAGCCGCAGGCGGGAGAGUAACGCGUGUAUAACCUACCUAUAAGACGGGGAUAACUUCGGGACACCGGAGAUUAUCCGGGAUAAUAUUUUGAACCGCAGGGUGCAAUAGUGAGAGACGGUCGUGCGGGCACUUAUAGAGGGAUCCGGGCUGCAUUGGCUGGUUGGUAAGGUAACGGCUUACCAAGGCAACGAGGCCUAGCCGACCGGAGAGGGGGAUCGCCCACACUGGAACUGAGACACGGUCCUGAGGCCUACGGUAGGCACCAGUAGGGAACGUGAGGCAACGGGCGAAAGCCUUACGGAGCAGCGCGGCGUGAGUGAUGACGGCCUUCGGUUCGUAAAACCCGGUUACGAGUGAAGAACAGAUUUGUAAGUAACUGUGGCCUUCUUGACGGUACCUAAUAAGAAAGCACCGGCUAACUACGUG